rnacentral:sRNA from 1 species
AUGUGCCACUCCGUACACUGCGGCUUCCGAGCGCGCCGUCCGCACCCACCUGACGACUGCGCGCGCCGUUUGUUGGCC